UACGUAGGGUGCAAGCGUUAAUCGGAAUUACUGGGCGUAAAGCGUGCGCAGGCGGUUGUGCAAGACAGAUGUGAAAUCCCCGGGCUUAACCUGGGAAUUGCAUUUGUGACUGCACGGCUAGAGUGUGUCAGAGGGGGGUAGAAUUCCACGUGUAGCAGUGAAAUGCGUAGAUAUGUGGAGGAAUACCGAUGGCGAAGGCAGCCCCCUGGGAUAACACUGACGCUCAUGGUCGAAAGCGUGGGGAGCAAACAGG
rnacentral:rRNA from 1 species